rnacentral:lncRNA from 1 species
UAGCAUUUCUAAGAAACAUUUCCAAAAUGUUUCCUUUAAGAUACCAGUUUCUGUCUAAUGUUUCAUCACUCUGCUGCUGGACUGAGGACCUAGACAAGAAAAAGCAUGUGGAUUUUGUUUUGAAGUGGAAGCCAGGUCUUACUAUGUGGUACUGGCCUGGAACUCAUCACUGUGGAACAGGCUGACAUCAAAUACAGCAGUCUUAACUGUUCCUGCCUCUCAAGUGCACCACUGAGUUUGGCAUACGUGUGGUAUUUUCUGUUUUCAUACAAGGUCUCACUGCCUAGCCCUAGCUAGCCUCAACCACAAAGAUUCUCCUGCCUCUGCCUCCAGAGCGCUGGGAUCAAAGGCGUGUACCAGCACAGCUACCUUAUGCAUUAGAAUUUAAAUAUAUAUUUUUGCCUGAUUGCAUGCGAUUCACAUACUUGGGAGGAGGAGCAGAAGUACAAGCAUCCACUGAUAUAUGAGUUGAGUUAGGCCAACUUUGGCUAAAUGAGACCCUGGGGCUUGGGGGACCUAAGCAUGGUGACCCCUUUUAUCCCAGCACAAAAGAGGCAGAGACUACUGGAUCUCUUGAGUUCCAACCAAGACUACAAAGUGAGACUCUGUCUCAGUUUUUAUUAAUUAAAAAUUAAAAGAAGGGCUGAAGAGAUGAGUCAGAAGUUAAGAGCACCUGCUUCUUGCAGAGGACCUUGAUAAUUCCCAGAAACCACAUACAGCUCACAGCCUGCUGUAACUCCCAGCUCCAGGGGAUCCAGUGCCCUGACUGUACGAGGCGUGCAUACACACAUACAGAAGUCAAGCUAAUCAUUCAUCUUUUUAAAGGUUUUUUAAUUACAUUUUUUUUCUGCUGGGUGGUGGUGUCACACCCCUUUAAUCCCAGCAUUUGAGAGGCAGAGGUUCGUGUAUCUCGAAAUUUGAGGCCAGCCAGAACCCUGUGUUGAAAAACUAUGAAAGCUAUGCUUCUGUGCGGUUACGCAUCAGUCUGCCAUUUGACAAAACACUGACAGUUGUGUUCAUCAGUUUCAGUAAAACAGAUGCCAAGUGGAACCGAUCCCCAUGGACCUAGGACAGUCUUCCCUGCUGCGGAAAGUGGAGGGAAGAUGGCUGCCUAAGGCAGUUCGCUACUGUUAUUCUUGGGUCCUGGCCCAGGUACCAUACCUGGAAAGUCUUCCUGUGCAGAGCUGAGUGUGACAACUGGCUUUUAGCCAGACUCACACACUGUUCCUCUUAGCUGAGGGCCUCCGGUGGGAGCCCUGACCACAGGGUGACCCAAUGGGCGAAUGGUGGUUAUGUUAUGUGCCUGACAUCCAUUUUAGGCCAGUACUGUUAGACCUGUCCCAGCUGCCAUGUUCUAAAGAGUCAAGGCUGUCAUGUGGGUUAAUGUGACUUGUAGCUGCCAGUCCUUGGCGAUAGAGAAAAUACCCAAGGGUGCUGCAUUACAGCUGUCCUCUGUAUGGAGCACUGUAUGGAGCACGGCAGAGUGCUGACUAGGGAAGUGGAAGUACAAAAGUUCCUUUCUGAGGGUGAGGGAAGCUGUCUGCCAGGCCACACUGGGGCAUGGAUAGUACAGGCAGCUGCAUUUCUAAGGGCUCAGCAGCAUUUGCAGGGACUGGCAUGCAGGCAGACAAGAGGCCAGCUUGGUCUACAUAGCAAGUUCUAGGACAGCCUAGACUACAUAGAGACUGUGUCUCC